rnacentral:rRNA from 1 species
GCCUACGGGAGGCAGCAGUGGGGGAUAUUGCACAAUGGGGGAAACCCUGAUGCAGCGACGCCGCGUGAGUGAAGAAGUAUUUCGGUAUGUAAAGCUCUAUCAGCAGGGAAGAAAAUGACGGUACCUGACUAAGAAGCCCCGGCUAACUACGUGCCAGCAGCCGCGG